GACGAACGCUGGCGGCGCGCUUAACACAUGCAAGUCGAGCGAAGCGGCGGACGGGUGAGUAACACGUGAGUAACCUGCCUUAGACAUUGGGAUAGCCUCGGGAAACCGGGAUUAAUACCAAAUGGUCUAAGAUGGACUCGAGUCCCAUUAGCUAGUUGGUGGGUAACGGCGCACCAAGGGGACGAUGGGUAGCCGGCCUGAGAGGCAGAACGGACACAUUGGAACUAUGAAGCGGUCCAAACUCUACGGGAGGCGGCAGUGGUGAAUAUUGCACAGUGGAGUGAACUAUGAUGCAGCGAGGCGGGGUAAACACAGAAGGCUUUCGAGUCGUAAAGUUCUUUUAUAUGGGAAGCGGUACCAUAAGAAAAAGCCCCGGCUAACUACGUGCCAGCAGCCGCGGUAAUAC
rnacentral:rRNA from 1 species